rnacentral:rRNA from 1 species
UACGUAGGGUGCGAGCGUUAAUCGGAUUUACUGGGCGUAAAGCGUGCGCAGGCGGUGCGGUAAGUCAGGGGUUAAAGGCUGCAGCUCAACUGCAGUAAGGCCUUUGAUACUAUCGCGCUAGAGUACCAGAGAGGAUAGUGGAAUUCCAAGUGUAGCGGUGAAAUGCGUAGAGAUUUGGAGGAACACCAGUGGCGAAGGCGACUGUCUGGUCUGUAACUGACACUGAGGCGCGAAAGCGUGGGGAGCAAACAGG